GAAAGGCAGAAGAGGCCCCACAGUGUCCAGCUGCAAUGGAUUCACUUAAGGCAUCUUAUGACUUGAGAGAGCUCUGUAAUCCUCGCCAAUGCCCCAGUCUACAGCACCUCAGAAGCUCUUCAGCUGGGACACUAUCAACCUUAGGAGACUAAUGAAGGACAAUCAGUUCAAAGAAUAUAUGGAUACAGUGAAAAUCCCCUCAAUUCUCACUUAUCAAACAGCAACCACUGCAAGCAACAGAAGUCUGUUCCACUGUUGAUCAGUAAGCAGGUCGUUGACAUUCCCACCUUCACCCCUAUGACUGCAAGGGGGAAUUGUGGAAGAAACUCUGCUUCUAACUGUCACACUAAAUAUCGCUCAAGGAAUAGAGUGGCAAAACAUCCGUAAGAUUUUUCUCUAUGACAGGGGAACAGACCCUUGCCACUCACACUGCUGCCCCACAAGUGAGGAUGGGUGGGAGAGCUGGGAGAUACUACUUAGCUACAUGACUAAGAUGCUACUUAGCUAAGUAGGUGGUACCAAGUCGCAGCCUGCAAAUCUCUGAACAUUUUGGUGUAUGCGCUUUUAACAAUGGAAACCCUGUUAAACAUAUAAUGUGUAAGGUUAAAAUGCAGAAUAUCAUUUUAACCUAGUGUUUCAUGUUUUGUUGGUGUCAUUAACACUUCAGCUGCUACAAUAAUGUAUUGAAACUACAAAAGAAUAGAUCUAAUGCAUUUUACACACUUAUUCAAGCAUGAUAUAACAAUGUACAUGUGCCAACAUAAAACCCCCCAAAAUGAAUUAAGAGAAAUUUUUGCAUGUAAUAAUUACAGAAAUAAAGUAAAACUCUAAUUAUAU
rnacentral:lncRNA from 11 species